GUGUUGACCAAGGGGGCCCUCUCCUUCUCAUUUCCUUCUCAGGGACACAGCUUCCUCCGACCUGGGGAAACACUGAAAGCCCACAGCCAUGCUUACUCACCAGAUAAGCCAAGAAGAAGCUACCCCUUUCCAGGAAGUCUGUGACAACAGCGUAAGCAUAGGACACUAAUAAUCAUGCCAAGACCCUCUGUUGUUGCUACUCCACCCUGGGACAGCCAGUGUCUUCUGGGAGCAGGUGUGGGCAAGGGGAAGAAAAGUAAACAAACAGGACUACAUCGAACUAAAAAUUUCACAUGGUGGAGGAAACGCUCAACAAAACAAAAACACCAUCUACUAAAUGGGGCCGCACUGGGUCUUCGUUGCUGUGUGUGGGCUUUUCUCUGGCUGUGCUUAACUCAACCAGGAUCUCCGGACAAAUGACGAGGCCUGGAACAUCAUGAGAAAAUGGCGGAACUUCAGGCAAACUGGGAAUUGGACAGGAUCGUCUUCUAUUCCUCAGGCCGCGCUUGAUCUCCAGACAACUUCAGGAGACAGUGAUUGUUAUAGAACAACCAGGUCAGCCCGGGAACCUCUUCUCCUUCUGGCGCUAAUUCUCAGAACACCCAGUGUUCCAAAGGGAGGCUCUUUCCUUGUCCCGCCUUUCCCUAUCACCCCACAUGGGACAUGCUCAUGCAGUGGGAGAGAGCUUUGGGCAGAGUGCGCUGAGAGGGUCUCUGAAUGCCGAUCCAAAG
ensembl:lncRNA